rnacentral:rRNA from 1 species
UACGGGGGGAGCAAGCGUUGUUCGGAUUUACUGGGCGUAAAGGGCGCGUAGGCGGUCAGCACAAGUCAGUUGUGAAAUCUCCGGGCUUAACCCGGAAAGGUCAACUGAUACUGUGCGACUAGAGUGCGGAAGGGGCAACUGGAAUUCUCGGUGUAGCGGUGAAAUGCGUAGAUAUCGAGAGGAACACCUGCGGCGAAGGCGGGUUGCUGGGCCGACACUGACGCUGAGGAGCGAAAGCAUGGGGAGCGAACAGG